AACAGAGGGUUUCAGGGAAAUUAAUACUGUGCAAAAGGUGGAGAGGGCACAUUGCAGGGGGAAAAGAGGAGGUUCAAAGAGGAGCCCGACAGUGUGUGUGUGUGUGUGUGUGCGUGUGGGAGGAAGAGAGAAAUCUUUGGAAGAGACAGGCUCCGUGUCCACUUUGCGUCCACAACGUCCGUGCCCUUUCACGAGCUGCUCCAGAGGCAAUUCAGAAUCUGGCUGAGGGUAACAGCGGAAGCCGCUAGCACAUCUCGGGGUGUACACGCCGCAAAACUCGUCUUCCUGGCGGGCGCACACCGGACAGCAACCGCAUCCAGGCUCCCGCACAAUCUCUACGCAAGUCUCCGUGAGCUCCGGACAUGCCGCCUGACGCUCGGCGGUGCAGCUUGGGCAGCGGAAGACCAUCUCACCAAGUGCCGCUCCUGGGAGUGCCACGAGCGCCAGAACCAGGCUGCAAACCACGUACGAUAACAUAAUGGUAAGCAAAGUAUUGGUCAGUCCACGUCCGAGCUGGAAGUUCAGGUAAGAGACGACUGUGCAUGCGAACAGGUGAAGCUUCGGCACUAGGUUCUGCACGGUCCUAUCAGCGGUCCUGUUCCACUGACAUCACAAGAGAUGCCAGUCGCACGCUGUAGCUUACUGUAGCAUGCUCACUGCUCAGGGGCAGCAGUUCACACGUAUCAGCUCUAGGGACAGGUUAGAAACCUGCUCUUUAUCACAGGAUCACAUUGUAAACAUGGUUGUGUAAAUUCAAUCGACGACUUUGGCAAGUAGGCCACAGCAGUUCCGCAGUUCAGUCAAGUGUGAAAUGAAAUAAAAUUUGCGCUGAUGUUAUAUGCAACAUGAGCAGGGGAUCCAUAGUUUAUUCUAAAUGAAGUGCGUAUUGUCGUUUUUUCUUUCUUUUUGUUCUGAUAAAUUGUUCUGAUCGUCCAAAUGCAUUUGUGAAGAAAACCACAACUUGUGUAACAGUUUGGCAGUUUUAUCAGAAGUAUUUAGAUUUUACUGUGUUGUAUUAUAUAGGCCUACUACAGUAGGCCUAGGCUAAAUGUAGGCUAAUUUAGGCUAUAUAACGCCAAACGGAUUUGAAAUAGGCUGUGUUAAUAUGUAGGCCUAGCAGCACGUGUUCUCCUUGGGCUUUGAACCAGGGUUAUGUUAUAGGCUAAUAGGCUACGUCAUAUGCCUAUAUGUCUGGCCACAGAUAUUAAUAAGGUAUAAAUUGAUAUUUUACCUUGAAACUAUUAUGGGAUUACACAUAAUUGUUGUAGGCACACGAAAUUUAAAAAAAAAACUAUAAGCAACAAAAUAAACUACAUUUAGGCCUAUGUAAUGAGCUAGCCUACCUGUCACAGACACCUACUGGAGUGAGCUGCUUAUUAACACUCUGAAAGGCCUUAACUACAACCAACGUUUUUCUCCUUCAGUCCUGUUGACUACUGACUCAGUGCUGAGGUGUCGCGAGCUCGCCACUCACACAGGCUCCCAUUAACCCGCCUGGGGCACAGGCCACACUCCGUUGCCCCGGAGACUAAUCGUUGUUUAUUUAAGUCUCCCAAAAUAGCCCCCGAGACCUUUCUCGCCCGCAUCGGGGUCUGUCAUGCAAGAUAUAAAUGAGGAUUAUUUUGUUUUUGUGGGUGCGCUUGAUUGCGCGGCAUUUUACGUAUUUGCACUUGGCUCGGGUCUCCCGUCGUUCACCUUGAGGCGGCGAUUGGAUGGAGAAAGGGCACUUUUGACGCAGGCCCUCCCGGGCAUGGCCGAGACGUGGAGAUGAAGCAGGCAUGUUUGUGCAGGACCUCACGUGUCGCUCUUUAAAAAAAGCAGCCGCCGUGGAUGGGACCAUGGCCUAUAAGCCCGUGCCUGUAUACCCGAGUUUGCUCAGUGUCUGCAGCCCUAGAGGGUGAUGGUCUGCAAGCUGCCCGCAAUAUCUCCUCAUGGGGUCUGGAGUUGCCCUUCCCAUCAAGGACACAACGGUGUGCAAAUAAACUAGAUAAAUUGCAUCUUAAUUAAGACCCAAGCCACAGACAGGGCUCCUCUAUCUGUAGAAUACCCAUGUGGAUGCCACCAGUUAUGCUUUAGGUCUGUUAUGUAAGUUUUGCCUCUUGCAGUCUGUUUACCAACUGAAAUGCAUCAGUAUUCCUGUUGAAAAUGUUUUCUUUUGUGAUGUGUUAAAAGAUAAUGUGCACAUGUCAUGUAUGCAGCAAUUUGUCACUUUUUGAAGUAGUGCUAUGUUUUUUUAUAGACCCUUUCAACAAUAAAAACAAAAACAAUGCUUGAACAUUC